rnacentral:rRNA from 1 species
AUGGCUCAGGAUGAACGCUAGCGGCAGGCUUAACACAUGCAAGUCGAGGGGCAGCGGGGAGGAAGCUUGCUUUCUCCGCCGGCGACCGGCGCACGGGUGAGUAACACGUAUGCAACCUGCCCCUGUCAGGGGGACAACCCGCCGAAAGGCGGGCUAAACCCGCGUACAUGCCACCGGGGCAUCCCGGAGGCAGGAAAGGCUUCGGCCGGACAGGGAUGGGCAUGCGGCGCAUUAGGCAGUAGGCGGGGUAACGGCCCACCUAACCGACGAUGCGUAGGGGUUCUGAGAGGAAGGUCCCCCACACUGGUACUGAGACACGGACCAGACUCCUACGGGAGGCAGCAGUGAGGAAUAUUGGUCAAUGGUCGGGAGACUGAACCAGCCAAGCCGCGUGAGGGAUGAAGGUACAGAGUAUCGUAAACCUCUUUUGUCAGGGAACAAAGGCGGGGACGUGUCCCCGGAUGAGUGUACCUGAAGAAAAAGCAUCGGCUAACUCCGUGCCAGCAGCCGCGGUAAUACGGAGGAUGCGAGCGUUAUCCGGAUUUAUUGGGUUUAAAGGGUGCGCAGGCGGUCUGUUAAGUCAGCGGUCAAAGCCCGGGGCUCAACCCCGGCCCGCCGUUGAAACUGGCAGUCUCGAGUUGGAGAGAAGUAUGCGGAAUGCGCGGUGUAGCGGUGAAAUGCAUAGAUAUCGCGCAGAACUCCGAUUGCGAAGGCAGCAUGCCGGCUCCACACUGACGCUGAGGCACGAAAGCGUGGGUAUCGAACAGGAUUAGAUACCCUGGUAGUCCACGCAGUAAACGAUGAAUGCUGGCUGUCCGGGGGGACUGACCCCUGGGUGGCGAAGCGAAAGCGAUAAGCAUUCCACCUGGGGAGUACGCCGGCAACGGUGAAACUCAAAGGAAUUGACGGGGGCCCGCACAAGCGGAGGAACAUGUGGUUUAAUUCGAUGAUACGCGAGGAACCUUACCCGGGCUCAAACGGGGAGUGACUCAGGCAGAGACGCCUGUUUCCCACGGGACACUCCCCGAGGUGCUGCAUGGUUGUCGUCAGCUCGUGCCGUGAGGUGUCGGCUUAAGUGCCAUAACGAGCGCAACCCCCGCGUGCAGUUGCUAACAGUCAACGCUGAGGACUCUGCACGGACUGCCGGCGCAAGCCGCGAGGAAGGCGGGGAUGACGUCAAAUCAGCACGGCCCUUACGUCCGGGGCGACACACGUGUUACAAUGGGUGGUACAGCGGGAAGCCAGGCGGCGACGCCGAGCGGAACCCGAAAUCCACUCUCAGUUCGGAUCGGAGUCUGCAACCCGACUCCGUGAAGCUGGAUUCGCUAGUAAUCGCGCAUCAGCCAUGGCGCGGUGAAUACGUUCCCGGGUCUUGUACACACCGCCCGUCAAGCCAUGGGAGCCGAGGGCGCUUGAAGUGCGUCGCCGCGAGGCGCGCCCUAGAGCGAAAUCGGUGACUGGGGCUAAGUCGUAACAAGGU